rnacentral:rRNA from 1 species
GACGAACGCUGGCGGCGUGCUUAACACAUGCAAGUCGAACGGAAAGGCCCUGCUUUUGUGGGGUGCUCGAGUGGCGAACGGGUGAGUAACACGUGAGUAACCUGCCCUUGACUUUGGGAUAACUUCAGGAAACUGGGGCUAAUACCGGAUAGGAGCUCCUGCUGCAUGGUGGGGGUUGGAAAGUUUCGGCGGUUGGGGAUGGACUCGCGGCUUAUCAGCUUGUUGGUGGGGUAGUGGCUUACCAAGGCUUUGACGGGUAGCCGGCCUGCGCGGGUUGCCGGCCACAUUGGGACUGAGAUACGGCCCAGACUCCUACGGGAGGCAGCAGUGGGGAAUAUUGCACAAUGGGCGGAAGCCUGAUGCAGCAACGCCGCGUGCGGGAUGACGGCCUUCGGGUUGUAAACCGCUUUCGCCUGUGACGAAGCGUGAGUGACGGUAAUGGGUAAAGAAGCACCGGCUAACUACGUG